rnacentral:piRNA from 1 species
GUAUAUUAACAGAUUCUUCAAGUUU